rnacentral:rRNA from 1 species
AGUUGUAUAUUUGCACCCGCUUAGAGAAACAGUAACAUAUCUAGCGAAGUUCAAAAGUUUUUAUUGAGAUGUUUUGGAAGAUUAGUUAUUCUAAUUUGAGGUUCGAAUCCUUAGCAUUUACAAGAGUUUUCUGCUAUUAAUAGUGGUAGAGAAAGUUCAUUGAUUUAUUGAAUUGACAGCGCGUAUUAAUACCUUCGGGUAUUAUUACAAAGAAUUUGAAAACUAGAAGUUUAUUAUUGACCAGAUAUUUCGAGUCGUGAGGAGUUAAAUUUAUUUACAAUACACGAUGAAGAGUUUGAUCCUGGCUCAGGAUGAACGCUAGCGGCAGGCUUAACACAUGCAAGUCGAGGGGUAACAGAGGUAGCUUGCUACUUGCUGACGACCGGCGCACGGGUGCGUAACGCGUAUAGAAUCUACCUUAUACUGGGGGAUAGCCUUUGGAAACGAAGAUUAAUACCCCAUAGUAUGUUUGAAUGGCAUCAUUUGGACAUUAAAGUUUCGGCGGUAUAAGAUGACUAUGCGUUCUAUUAGUUUGUUGGUAAGGUAACGGCUUACCAAGACUACGAUAGAUAGGGGUCCUGAGAGGGAGAUCCCCCACACUGGUACUGAGACACGGACCAGACUCCUACGGGAGGCAGCAGUGAGGAAUAUUGGACAAUGGAGGCAACUCUGAUCCAGCCAUGCCGCGUGUAGGAAGACUGCCCUAUGGGUUGUAAACUACUUUUAUAUGGGAAGAAUAAGGUCUACGUGUAGACUGAUGACGGUACCAUAAGAAUAAGCACCGGCUAACUCCGUGCCAGCAGCCGCGGUAAUACGGAGGGUGCAAGCGUUAUCCGGAAUCAUUGGGUUUAAAGGGUCCGUAGGCGGGCAUAUAAGUCAGUGGUGAAAGUCUGUGGCUCAACCAUAGAAUUGCCAUUGAUACUGUAUGUCUUGAAUUAUUGUGAAGUGGUUAGAAUAUGUAGUGUAGCGGUGAAAUGCUUAGAGAUUACAUAGAAUACCGAUUGCGAAGGCAGAUCACUAACAAUAUAUUGACGCUGAUGGACGAAAGCGUAGGUAGCGAACAGGAUUAGAUACCCUGGUAGUCUACGCCGUAAACGAUGGAUACUAGUUGUUUGGCUUUCGGGCUGAGUGACUAAGCGAAAGUGAUAAGUAUCCCACCUGGGGAGUACGUUCGCAAGAAUGAAACUCAAAGGAAUUGACGGGGGCCCGCACAAGCGGUGGAGCAUGUGGUUUAAUUCGAUGAUACGCGAGGAACCUUACCAGGGCUUAAAUGUAGAUUGACAGGACUAGAGAUAGUUUUUUCUUCGGACAAUUUACAAGGUGCUGCAUGGUUGUCGUCAGCUCGUGCCGUGAGGUGUCAGGUUAAGUCCUAUAACGAGCGCAACCCCUGUGGUUAGUUGCCAGCGAGUAAUGUCGGGAACUCUAGCCAGACUGCCGGUGCAAACCGUGAGGAAGGUGGGGAUGACGUCAAAUCAUCACGGCCCUUACGUCCUGGGCCACACACGUGCUACAAUGGUAGGGACAGAGAGCAGCCACUGGGCGACCAGGAGCGAAUCUAUAAACCCUAUCUCAGUUCGGAUUGGAGUCUGCAACUCGACUCCAUGAAGCUGGAAUCGCUAGUAAUCGGAUAUCAGCCAUGAUCCGGUGAAUACGUUCCCGGGCCUUGUACACCGCCCGUCAAGCCAUGGAAGCUGGGGGUACCUGAAGUCCGUCA